rnacentral:rRNA from 1 species
CCCCUAGUAACUGCGAGUGAAGCGGGAAAAGCUCAAAUUUAAAAUCUGGCGGUCUUUGGCCGUCCGAGUUGUAGUCUGGAGAAGUGCUUUCCGCGCUGGACCGUGUAUAAGUCUCUUGGAACAGAGCGUCAUAGAGGGUGAGAAUCCCGUCUUUGACACGGACUACCAGUGCUUUGUGAUGCGCUCUCAAAGAGUCGAGUUGUUUGGGAAUGCAGCUCAAAAUGGGUGGUGAAUUCCAUCUAAAGCUAAAUAUUGGCGAGAGACCGAUAGCGAACAAGUACCGUGAGGGAAAGAUGAAAAGCACUUUGGAAAGAGAGUUAAACAGUACGUGAAAUUGCUGAAAGGGAAACGCUUGAAGUCAGUCGCGUUGUCUGGAACUCAGCCUUGCUUUUGCUUGGUGCAUUUUCCGGAUGACGGGCCAGCAUCGAUUUUGACCGUCGGAAAAGGGCUAGGGUAAUGUGGCACCUCCGGGUGUGUUAUAGACUCUAGUCGCAUACGGCGGUCGGGAUCGAGGAACGCAGCGCGCCGUAAGGCAGGGGUUCGCCCACUUUCGCGCUUAGGAUGCUGGCGUAAUGGCUUUAAACGACCCGUCUUGAAACACGGACCAAGGAGUCUAACAUACCUGCGAGUGUUUGGGUGGAAAACCCGAGCGCGUAAUGAAAGUGAAAGUUGAGACCUCUGUCGUGGAGGGCAUCGACGCCCGGACCUGACGUUCUCUGACGGAUCCGCGGUAGAGCAUGUAUGUUGGGACCCGAAAGAUGGUGAACUAUGCCUGAAUAGGGUGAAGCCAGAGGAAACUCUGGUGGAGGCUCGUAGCGAUUCUGACGUGCAAAUCGAUCGUCAAAUUUGGGUAUAGGGGCGAAAGACUAAUCGAA